UUUUCUGUCAUAAAGGAAACAACAAAACAAUCCUACCAAUCAUUCAAUAAAACUACACGGCUGAAGUAUUUUAUCACAUACACUUAUCAAGUCCAUUCCAAGUCGUAAUUCACGAUUAUCCACACGCGUUUCAAGACAAAUCGAGUCAACGGGUGGUAUCACGACAAGUUUCGCCGUCGAGUCGUUAGCUGACAAGUCGAUUCUGCAACGUGGACCAAUUUUUCCCUGUGCGCGACUGAAAAACUGAUUGUGCCGACACUGUCAAUCACGGGCGGCGGAUAUAAAAGCGAUUACCGAAACAUCACUAAUGUGAUUUUCCCGGCGAGCAGAGCAGCCUUUGCGGUGUAUCAGUGCGACAUCGGUGACUCUUGCUUGCUUUGCUCGAGCGAGGCUGAAAUUCAUCGUUUCGGAACUAAAACGAACAAAAGCAAAAAAAAAAAAGAAAGAAAGAAAAGAAUAAAAAGAAAAAAAUCAAGUCAGGGACCAGUGAUCUCGUCACCACGAAGGCGAAAACAUCGACAGAAACGUCAUUUCGAGAUGUAUAAUGUGAUUAGCAUAUCUCGUUCCGAUUCGGCUCGGUGUGUACGACCUGUACGAUUAUCGAGACCCCUGUUCGAGCUAUCGUAAGGUUAUUUACCUGAAUAAACCGUUCGAUAAAAGAGCGUCCAGAGACCACGUGAGACGAGGUUUAAUAAUUUCGCGUGGAAUAUCGCCUAGUGUGGAAUAUUAAUUUUUCAUCGUGCGAUAGACACAGGAAACUUUUUCUAUAAGUAUCGUUACACUCUUCUUGGAUUAUGUAGAAAGUGUCUUAUAGAUGACGAUGGAGGAGCAAUUGUGGAGGAGGUGAUUUAUGAUGAAAAAAUAAUAUAGGAUUUAAUUUAAUUUUCAUUUCAAUUUCAAUGUACCUUCUUAAAUCGAUUGCUUUUAACAAGGAAAUUGCUAUAUAUUUGCUUCGUUUAUUUUAAAGUUUUAUAUCGUAACGAGAGUAAAAAAAGUAACUCAUCAAAUUAACAUAAUUAACACGACCACGUGGACGAUAUAUAUGGACGUUUCUCACGAUUAAUUUCGUAGUAAUAAUUAAAUUAUGAAACAGUGGCGUUAAAUUAUGAGGCACAGUCUUAAUAAUACCUAGUAUGCUCACUGAUUAAUUGAAGAUUGCUUUUAAAAUUUUUUAUUAAG